CAGCAGCCGCGGGAAUACGUAGGGUGCAAGCGUUAUCCGGAAUUAUUGGGCGUAAAGAGCUCGUAGGCGGUUUGUCGCGUCUGCUGUGAAAACUGGAGGCUCAACCUCCAGCCUGCAGUGGGUACGGGCAGACUAGAGUGCGGUAGGGGAGAUUGGAAUUCCUGGUGUAGCGGUGGAAUGCGCAGAUAUCAGGAGGAACACCGAUGGCGAAGGCAGAUCUCUGGGCCGUAACUGACGCUGAGGAGCGAAAGCGUGGGGAGCAAACAGGAUUAGAUACCCCUGUAGUCCCUGUCUCUUAUAA
rnacentral:rRNA from 1 species